CUUAUGUCAAGCCAGUGUCACGCCCGAAGCCCUCAGCACAGCAUCCAAAUCAAGCUUAAUGCCGAAGUUGUGUUUGACCCUUCAAGCACGCCACUGUGCCUUCGUUGAAAUGCGAGGCCCAACUUCAUAAGCAAAACAAACCUUUUGGAUCCGACACCGGAAAGCAAGCAAAAAUUUGAAUUUUCAUUUGCUCCAACCAGUAUUGUUCUUGAAAAUCGCUCAUUCAUUCAUAACCACUCAAGUUAAGAAUACGUCUGUGAUUGAUAUGGAGGUUGGGCCAAACCCUCGAGUGCGAGACUGCAAAGAAAAUAAUCACUGUUUGGUCAAAAAUAAAUAGAAUCUAGUUCA